AACCUAGCACACCUGCGGUGUGUACCUGCGGAAGGAUCAUUAACGAGUUACCACUCUAUAACCCUUUGUGAACAUACCUACAUGUUGCUUCGGCGGUCGGCCCCCCCGGGCCCCCGGCCCCGCUCACGCGGGGCGUCCGCCGGAGGAUAACCAAACUCUGAUUUAACGACGUUUCUUCUGAGUGGCACAAGCAAAUAAUCAAAACUUUUAACAACGGAUCU
rnacentral:misc_RNA from 1 species